rnacentral:rRNA from 1 species
UACGAAGGGGACUAGCGUUGUUCGGAAUUACUGGGCGUAAAGCGCACGUAGGCGGAUUUGUAAGUCAGGGGUGAAAUCCCGGGGCUCAACCUCGGAACUGCCUUUGAUACUGCAAAUCUCGAGUCCGAUAGAGGUGGGUGGAAUUCCUAGUGUAGAGGUGAAAUUCGUAGAUAUUAGGAAGAACACCGGUGGCGAAGGCGGCCCACUGGAUCGGUACUGACGCUGAGGUGCGAAAGCGCGGGGAGCAAACAGG